UCCCCUUCUUUAAGGACUCGACUACUACUUCACAGUCGUCCUCUCCCCUGCGUUACCCCUGCUGCUGUCCUGGAGGUAUCGGCAGCCACUGUCGUGUGACCUAAUACCCUAGUCUCCCAGGUCCUUGACAUCCUGGGCUCUAAAGACUGCCUUCCCCGUUCUUGAGUCACCAGACUCAGGCCAUUCGCUGAAGCUGGAGUCAGAUAGUCCUCUUCUGCCCCAAGUUCUGCAUCCCCUCCUGCAGCCACAUGCUCUCAGGUUCCACACUGUCAGUUAUUUCUUUGCAUUCUUAGCUUUCUCCACAGAAUCAUGCUAUUUGCCUAUAAAUGUGCACCUACUUAAAGAUAGUCUGAUGAUCUUACGUUUUGUCCAAGGCUGGACUAACCGUCCCUUCACCGCUAGACAGCAUUUGCUUCUACAGCACCUCCCACUAGCACAUCUAAUCACCCUACCUGCGUUUGUGACCAUAUGAUACUCUGCCUUACUUGCUGUAAUGGAUGAAUGGUUCACAUUCUUUCGAAAGCUGGUUUCUUCAUUUGUCUUCCAUUGAUCUACAUCCUAUUAUUUACUGUCCCAUUUCUCUGCUUCCCUGUGUAACUCCUGAAAAGAGUUGUCCACGCCAACUGCCUUUAAUUUCUGUCUGCAUAUUGGCUCUGGAGCUCACCCUAAUCAAGCUUAUGUCUCCACAAAUUCACUGAAAUUAUUCUUGUAAAACCACCAGUCGUCUCCACGUGGCCAAAUCUAGUUGUCAAUCUUCAUCCCUUGUCUCGCUUGAACUUUCAGAAGCAUUUUCCACAACGAAUCACUCCCUCUUUCUUUUCUUUUUUUUUUUUUUUUGGCCACACCGAACAACAUGUGGGAUCUAACCUGUGACCACUGCCGUGGAAGCGCAGAGUCCUAACCACUGGACUGCCAGGGAAGUCCCCCCCUCACUCCCUCUUUCUUGAAACGCUCUCUGCACCUGUCUUCAGCAGCCCUGCACUCUCCUGGUUUUCCUCCUUCCUUAUUGGUUGUUUCUUCUCAGCCUCAUUUACUGGCUUCUCCUCCUUCCAAAUGCAAAAUGUUGGAAUACCCUGGAGAUCAGCCUUUCCGUCUCCUUUCUAUCUACAGUCAUUCCCUGGGUAAUCUUCAUCCAGUAGUAUGGCUUAAGUACAGUCUUCUGAUUGCUUUCAAACUGAAGUCCCCAACCCUGAGCUCUCUUUGUGUUGGUCAGUCUCCUGAGAUGGCUGCCACCCAAUCCCUCUAGGCACAUGCCACUCUUCUCAUCAAACGGUGGAGUCUGUGUUCCCUCCGCUCACGUGUGCUGGCCCUGUGACAUGUUUUGACAAAUAGGAUAUGGCAGAAGAGGUGCUCUGUCAUUUUGGACCUAUCCUUUAUGAAGCCUGACAACUUCUGAUCUCGUCCUUUCUGGAGAAACCAGUCGCCACGUAAGAAGUCUGACUCCCUGAGGUGCCAGAUAUGUGAAUGAAGAUACUCUGGACCUUCCCACGUAGCCCACUACUGAAUGCAGCCAAGGUUAUUAAGCUUUUCUACUGAGAGGCUGUUGAUCUACUGAAAACUGCCAGUGACCAAAAUGACAAUUGGAAUUUGAGCCAAAAGUAUAUGUGCUUCCACCUCGUGCUAGAACUAACAGGUCUGAAUGAUAAUGAAUGUCAGUCCCUGGUCCCGAGUGAUAUUCUUAUUCUUUGCAGCUUUAGUCAGACAAACCAGUCUGGUCCAUCAGACAGAAAGCAGUUUGACCUGAGAUGCCCAGCCCUUCCACUCUACCAGAAGGUGAUGAUGUUUUCUUAGCCCCUGCUGUCUGCCUCAAUGUCAGGCGAAAGCAACUUUGAAGAGCGAGGGACCUCCCCCCCGCUUUUCCCUCUGCCUGGCACGGUCUUCCCCCCUUUACCCAUGUAGCUUUGCUCCCUCAACAGUCUCAAGUCUUUACUUAAAUGUCAUCUUUUAAAUGAUGCCUUCUUGGACCACUGUAUUCAAAAUUUCAUCUCCCUUUAUCAGCAACCUUGCUUAAUUUUUCUCUGGACACUUGGCACCCUCUAACAUAGAAUGUAACUGACUUUCUUAUUUUGUUUAUUGUCUGCCUUCUCCCACUAGAAUAUAAGGGCUGUAAGUACAAAUA